rnacentral:snoRNA from 1 species
AGCCUCCUGUGCUUACCACAGGCUGUGUUUUUACACUGACUAAACAGAUAAAGAGGAGGAAAAGUAAACCUACCCCAUAUACACUUCAGCCUAGGCCCUUUGCUUUGUCUGCAUUGUGAAUGGGAAGACAUGG